ACGAAAAGCAUGUUUGUCUAUGAACGGGGGGCGGUAGCUCACCGGGAGAGGCAUCCAUCCCAACUUCUCACACCACACCCCCUUUGUGCACGAUCGUGAGCCAUCGCUUGGCCGAUCGCACGUGAAAUCCGUGCGACUGGCCCUGUCAUUGGUCUCGCCUUUCUUUUUAACACGCACCAUAAAGUACAUAUUAGAACAACACUUUCUCGUGUUGAUUUACUUCACACGAAACAAAUA
rnacentral:misc_RNA from 1 species